rnacentral:rRNA from 1 species
UCAAGUGAAUAAGAGCACGUGGUGGAUGCCUUGGCAAUGAUAGGCGACGAAGGACGUGAUAGCCUGCGAUAAGCUUCGGGGAGCUGGCAAAUUAGCUUUGAUCCGGAGAUUUCCGAAUGGGGAAACCCACCGAAAGGUAUCGCAUGAUGAAUACAUAGUCAUGCGAGGCGAACCGGGUGAACUGAAACAUCUCAGUAGCUCGAGGAAAAGACAUCAACCGAGAUUCCGAAAGUAGUGGCGAGCGAAAUCGGAGAAGCCUGUUAGUGAUAGCACAAGACAUAACGGAACAGCUUGGAAAGGCUGGCCAUAGCGGGUGAUAGCCCCGUACGUGAAAUGACCUGUGUGGUACUGAGCUAACGACAAGUAGGGCGGGACACGAGAAAUCCUGUCUGAAUAUGGGGGGACCAUCCUCCAAGGCUAAAUACUCAUCAUUGACCGAUAGUGAACUAGUACCGUGAGGGAAAGGCGAAAAGAACCCCGGGAGGGGAGUGAAAUAGAUCCUGAAACCGCGUGCUUACAAAAAGUAGGAGCCCGCAAGGGUGACUGCGUACCUUUUGUAUAAUGGGUCAGCGACUUACAUUCAGUGGCAAGGUUAACCGAAUAGGGAAGCCGUAGAGAAAUCGAGUCCGAAUAGGGCGAUCAGUCGCUGGGUGUAGACCCGAAACCAAGUGAUCUAUCCAUGGCCAGGAUGAAGGUGCCGUAACAGGUACUGGAGGUCCGAACCGACUAGUGUUGCAAAACUAGCGGAUGAGCUGUGGAUAGGGGUGAAAGGCUAAACAAACUUGGAAAUAGCUGGUUCUCUCCGAAAACUAUUUAGGUAGUGCCUCAAGUAUUACCAUCGGGGGUAGAGCACUGUUUUGGCUAGGGGGUCAUGGCGACUUACCAAACCAAGGCAAACUCCGAAUACCGAUGAGUACAGCUUGGGAGACAGAGCACCGGGUGCUAACGUCCGGACUCAAGAGGGAAACAACCCAGACCGCCAGCUAAGGUCCCUAAAAUUGGCUAAGUGGGAAACGAAGUGGGAAGGCUAAAACAGUUAGGAUGUUGGCUUAGAAGCAGCCAUCAUUUAAAGAAAGCGUAAUAGCUCACUGAUCGAGUCGUCCUGCGCGGAAGAUGUAACGGGGCUAAGCCAGUUACCGAAGCUGCGGAUUUGCAAUUUAUUGCAAGUGGUAGGAGAGCGUUCUGUAAGCCUGUGAAGGUGCGUUGUAAAGCGUGCUGGAGGUAUCAGAAGUGCGAAUGCUGACAUGAGUAGCGUUAAAGGGGGUGAAAAGCCCCCUCGCCGUAAGCGCAAGGUUUUCUACGCAACGUUCAUCGGCGUAGAGUGAGUCGGCCCCUAAGGCGAGGCAGAGAUGCGUAGCUGAUGGGAAACAGGUCAAUAUUCCUGUACCGAUAUAUAGUGCGAUGUGGGGACGGAUCUUAAUAGGUCAUCCGGGUGUUGGAUAUCCCGGUUUAGUUGGAUGUAGGCGUGCAUUAGGCAAAUCCGGUGCACAUAUACCGAGGCCAACGAUCGAGCCAGCUUGCUGGUGAAGUGACUGAACGAGGUUCCAGGAAAAGCCACUAAGCUUCAGCUAUAUACGACCGUACCGCAAACCGACACUGGUGCGCGAGAUGAGUAUUCUAAGGCGCUUGAGAGAACUCAGGAGAAGGAACUCGGCAAAUUGACACCGUAACUUCGGAAGAAGGUGUGCCCUAUUAGUGUGAAGUGAACAACGGAGCAUGAAUGGGUUGCAAAAAAUCGGUGGCUGCGACUGUUUAUUAAAAACACAGCACUCUGCAAACACGAAAGUGGACGUAUAGGGUGUGACGCCUGCCCGGUGCUGGAAGAUUAAAUGAUGGGGUGCAAGCUCUUGAUUGAAGUCCCAGUAAACGGCGGCCGUAACUAUAACGGUCCUAAGGUAGCGAAAUUCCUUGUCGGGUA